UAUACUUGGACCCAAGCUCGAGCUUGCUAAUAAACCCUCAUGCGCUUGCAUCGGUGUCGGCUCCUUGGUGGUUUCUCGGAUUCGCAAUCUUGGGCACAACAUUUGGGGGCUCAUCCGGGAUCCAAGAGACCUCCAGGACCCCAUCCAGAGGAUUUCACGCGUGGUUAAGGCCGUGAUCUUCAGGGACAAACUGGAUGGCCACCCUGACCAGGUGCCCAACAUCCUGUUCUGGCAGGACGUGAUCGAGAAUUCCCCUCCUUGGCUAAAACCAUUUUUACCCCCCAAAGUGCACAACUUGGCUGAAGGUAAGGAUAGACUCCGGGUCCACCGCUAGACUCUAGGCGCAGGUCUCCAGGCUGCCGCGCGCAAGCCUGCCCAUCUGGCUGAGGUAUGGUUAUGUAAGACAGGGUAAGGACGAGAGUCCAGCAGCCUUCUUAGAGAGAAUACUAGGAGAGAAGAGCUUGUAGGACUUACAGUAGCAGAAAGAGUCUAGCAACAAACCAAACUAAGUGACCGGCAGACCUGAAACCUAGCCAAGAUCCUGCUGGCCACAACCAUGGAUGACCCACAGGAAAGACGGAGGCACCUCAAGAAGCUGGCUUCAGGGACAGAUGGACCCUGAGAAAGGCACCAAUGGCCAGCUCACCUGGACUCAACUACCACAAGGAUUCAAAAAUUCACCGACCAUCUUCAAUGAGGCCUUACACGAAGACUUGGGUGAGUUCCAUUCCAAGCAUCCUCAUUUGAUAUCCUGUUGGCGGUGGAGGACCAGGACACAUGCCUGCGAAGCACCAGGGACUUGCUCCAAACCAUAGAGGCUCUAGGAUACUGGGCCUCAGCUAAAAAAGCCCAGAUCUGCAGAGCAGAGGAUCCCACAACCGCAAACUGUCCGCCAGGAUGGACAGAGGCAUUUCCCAACAAACAUGAAACAGCACAGACCGUGACCAAGAAACUGCUGGAAGACAUCUUACCGAGGUAUGGUUUUCCUGUUAAGAUUGGAUCAGACAACGGCCCAGGA